UAACAUUCUGAUAAAUGGCUAUUGUAAGAGGCAGGAAGUAGACAAAGCCAUCAAUCUCCUCAGACAAAUGCCUGUUGAAGGUAUAAAAGCCGAUGUUCAAACCUACAGCACCAUCAUACAUG
rnacentral:miRNA from 1 species